UAUUUCAAGAAGAGGUACGGUUUCCUGUCAUAGUGGUAAACUACAUUUUUAUUCUUUUCUUCAGGAGUGCAUCAUUGAUGAAGACUGUGAAAUGGGAAAAUAUUGCCAGUUCUCCACCUUUGAAUACAAGUGUCAGCCCUGUAAAACCCAGCAUACACAUUGCUCACGGGAUGUUGAAUGCUGUGGAGACCAGCUUUGUGUUUGGGGUGAGUGCAGGAAAGCCAUUUCAAGGGGA